UGGUCACUUAAAGUGCUCCCAGAGCUGGUU
rnacentral:piRNA from 1 species